AACGAACGCUGGCGGCAGGCCUAACACAUGCAAGUCGAGCGCUCACUUCGGUGGGAGCGGCGGACGGGUUAGUAACGCGUGGGAAUAUGCCCGGUACUAAGGAAUAGCCUUUGGAAACGAAGAGUAAUACCUUAUACGCCCUUCGGGGGAAAGAUUUAUCGGUAUCGGAUUAGCCCGCGUAAGAUUAGAUAGUUGGUGGGGUAAUGGCCUACCAAGUCUACGAUCUUUAGCUGGUUUUAGAGGAUGAUCAGCAACACUGGGACUGAGACACGGCCCAGACUCCUACGGGAGGCAGCAGUGGGGAAUCUUAGACAAUGGGCGCAAGCCUGAUCUAGCCAUGCCGCGUGAGUGAAGAAGGCCUUAGGGUCGUAAAACUCUUUCGCCAGAGAUGAUAAUGACAGUAUCUGGUAAAGAAACCCCGGCUAACUCCGUGCCAGCAGCCGCGGUAAUACGGAGGGGGUUAGCGUUGUUCGGAAUUACUGGGCGUAAAGCGCACGUAGGCGGACUGGAAAGUUGGGGGUGAAAUCCCGGGGCUCAACCUCGGAACUGCCUCCAAAACUAUCAGUCUAGAGUUCGAGAGAGGUGAGUGGAAUUCCAAGUGUAGAGGUGAAAUUCGUAGAUAUUUGGAGGAACACCAGUGGCGAAGGCGGCUCACUGGCUCGAUACUGACGCUGAGGUGCGAAAGUGUGGGGAGCAAACAGGAUUAGAUACCCUGGUAGUCCACACCGUAAACGAUGAAUGCCAGUCGUCGGCAAGUAUACUUGUCGGUGACACACCUAACGGAUUAAGCAUUCCGCCUGGGGAGUACGGUCGCAAGAUUA
rnacentral:rRNA from 1 species